rnacentral:rRNA from 1 species
UGGGAAUUUGGACAAUGGGCGAAAGCCUGAUCCAGCAAUGCCGCGUGUGUGAAGAAGGCCUUCGGGUUGUAAAGCACUUUUGUCCGGAAAGAAAUCCUUGGCUCUAAUACAGUCGGGGGAUGACGGUACCGGGAGAAUAAGCACCGGCUAACUACGUGCCAGCAGCCGCGGUAAUACGUAGGGUGCAAGCGUUAAUCGGAAUUACUGGGCGUAAAGCGUGCGCAGGCGGUUUGCUAAGACCGAUGUGAAAUCCCCGGGCUCAACCUGGGAGCUGCAUUGGUGACUGGCAGGCUAGAGUAUGGCAGAGGGGGGUAGAAUUCCACGUGUAGCAGUGAAAUGCGUAGAGAUGUGGAGGAAUACCGAUGGCGAAGGCAGCCCCCUGGCAAGUACUGACGCUCAUGCACGAAAGCGUGGGGAGCAAACNGGAUUAAUACCCUGGUAGUCCACGCCCUAAANGAUGUCAACUAGUUGUUGGGGAUUCAUUUCCUAGUAACGUAGCUAACGCGUGAAGUUGACCGCC